ensembl:antisense Gm16559 predicted gene 16559
GAGGAUCUGAAAAGACAUCAUGGGAAAAAAUCAGAAGCUCAAAGAGCCAGGUCAAUAAUCAUAUGCAAGAAUCAUGAUAUCACGACUGGGAGUCAGCACAUCUUUAUCAUCCCUAACUUAAACACAGCGAGCCGUUCUGCAACUCUGUAUUUCUCCGUAUGAUCUGCUUACACUCUGGAUAAUCAACUUCUGCUGGCGCUGGCAUGGGAUUUCUGCCCUCUCUGCAUUCCUGGAGGUUGCACAAAGGAAAGACAACCCAGUCUGCAGCAUGCACGCUCUGGAGCCCUCAAAGCACAGAAGUGCUCAUCAGAGAACCUGCUGGUGCCUUCGCGCAAAGUCCCCCGAGGCAUUAGCAGACUGGUUGGUGAAACACAGGCAUACAAAGGACAUGAGACAGAACAAAGCAGUGUGCCCACCCAACUGUGCAAAAAGACAGUAAGAAACGUACUCGCUUUGGCUACAAUAGUUGCUUUCCGGGUGCUUGCAAAUCCUGCAUUCUCCACACUGAGGGGAAAAGAGUGGAAUGACUUUAUCACCUGGAUGAAGAAAAACAAAAUGACUUAAAUGUCUGUCCAGAAAUCAAUAAAGCAACAACUUGAAGCUUAUUAGAGACAUUGUGUCUUUGAAAAGUCUCCAGGAGAUGAGGCCUCACCCAGGCUAUGUCAGUCUAGUUAGUCAUUCACAUUUAAAGCGCCUGAAGAUUCCCGGAAGAGAAAAAUGAACCUGAAACCAGCUAUUUCCACCCGUCAGCAGUUAAACUUUGCUGUGUGCCUCCGUUUCUCUUAGGAGCUUUGUACAUAUCCUAAUCAAACCUUGGAUAUGCUUGCUGCUAAGAAGAAAUAUGCACUUUCAUUGCAAAUGAGUUGCUAUCUUCCUGUUAGAUUUUGGCGAGAACUGAUAUGAUAGUUUCAAUAAAAGUAAGAUUAAAGAAAUACUACACAGGCAAUAUUUAUAAUAAAAAUAAAACAAAUUAAACUUGAUCAUGAAAUCAAAUUAAAGUGGGAAUCUUGAUAGUUAGCUUUUGCCCUUUUAUUGUUUAAGACUUUGUUGUUGGUGUUGGUUUUUGUCUUUUUGUGUGCAUGUGAGUACCUGUGUGUGUGUGCCAUCUCUGUAUGUGUGCCCUUGGAAGCCAGCAAAGGGUGUUGGGCCCACAGGAGCUGGAGUGACAAGUGGUUUUGAGUAACCCAGUUGGGUGCUCUAUAAGAGUAUGGUGUGCCCUGAGCCACGUUAUCAUUUUUCUGUGGUCCAGUUUUGGCUUUUUAAGGUGAUUGUGCUUCUCCUAUUAUGAAAUAAAGGCUUAAAAAAAUCUUAGUUAUUUUUUGAGGAAGCAUAAUAAAAACAUGAGAAGCCACAAAUUGCUUUGGAAAUCUCAGUUCUUAAUGAGUUAAAUAUUUUCUCUGGGAAAUAACAAGAAACUUUUGGUUUUUUAAGAUAAUUAUUAAGAAUUAUUGAUUUUUCUGCCGUAGAAGAAGCAACCUGAAGAAUAAAGGUGUCAUUUUGCUGCUAGGUUUGUUGUUGUUUUGUUCUUUUCUGAAUAAAAGAAAUAAUAAAAGCUUAAC